rnacentral:miRNA from 1 species
GGGCGGUGACUGGCGCUAUAU